rnacentral:sRNA from 1 species
UAUAAACUUCAUAAUAUUGUUGUUAUUGUUAAUUCUAGACCAAGCUAUGCGAAUUGGGGAGGAGAACAAAAACGAUUUCCCAUUUUGCAGAGAUGGUGUGAAAAGAAAACUCUUUUGGCCAUUUCCACAGCAUUUUGAAAAAUAGUUGGCCAAUACUUUUGUUCGCAGAUGUAUAACGUCUUACAGCAAAAAUAGAAACAGCAUAGUUUACCAUCAUUCGCAAGUUUCCAAGGCUUUUGGCUGAGAAAUUUUUCAAAAAAAUAUUUUGAGAAUCAAUACCAUAUACAUUUUAUGGUUCUUCAAAAAAUUGCCGCUAUUUAAAAGAAAACACUUCGCAUUCAUAGUGAAAGUUGGAUACGUAUGGUCACAUCGUGCUAUGAUUUCUAGCAAAUCCGUAUAUGAUUUGUGUAUAGUUUUAUUCAAUCUGUACAACAAGCAGCACAGUCAUCCGAAAUAAAGGAAAGUCGAGCAAAAAGAGCUUAUUAUGAUUUCGUAGAUAAACGUAUGACCUUUUUUAAUGCCAUAAUACAGUUUGGUAUGUCGUGGAACCAUAAGCAUUACAUCACCAUUUCUACACGCAAAAAAUAAUUCAUUAGCCAUAAACGAA